rnacentral:rRNA from 1 species
AAAGCGUGCGCAGGCGGUUUUGUAAGACUGUCGUGAAAUCCCCGGGCUCAACCUGGGAAUGGCGAUGGUGACUGCAAGGCUAGAGUUUGGCAGAGGGGGGUAGAAUUCCACGUGUAGCAGUGAAAUGCGUAGAUAUGUGGAGGAACACCGAUGGCGAAGGCAGCCCCCUGGGUCAAAACUGACGCUCAUGCACGAAAGCGUGGGGAGCAAACAGGAUUAGAUACCUGUGU